rnacentral:rRNA from 1 species
GAUGAACGCUGGCGGCGUGCCUAAUACAUGCAAGUCGAGCGAACGGACGCGAAGCUUGCUUCUCUGUUGUUAGCGGCGGACGGGUGAGUAACACGUGGAUCACCUACUUAUAUGACUGGUAACAUUUCGGGACACCGGAGCUAAUCCGGGAUAAUCUUUUGAUGCGCAUGGUUCAAUAGUGAAAGUCGGUCUUUCUGUCACUUAUCGCUGGUUAUGCGCUUCAUUAGCUAGUUGGUACGUUAACGGGUUAUCAAGGCAACGAUGCAUAGCCGACCUGAGAGGGUGAUAGGCCACACGGGAACGUGGACGCGGACCAGGCGCCUACGAGAGGCAGCAGUAGGGAAUCUUCCGCAAUAGGCGAAAGCCUGACGGAGCAACGCCGCGUGAGUGAUGAAGGUCUUCGGAUCGUAAAACUCUGUUAUGAGGGGAGAACAGAUGUGUAAGGAGCUGUGCACAUCGUGACGGUACCGAAUCAGAAAGCCACGGCUAACUACGUG